ACGAACGCUGGCGGCGUGCUUAACACAUGCCAGUCGAACGGAAAGGCCCUGCUUUUGUGGGGUGCUCGAGUGGCGAACGGGUGAGUAACACGUGAGUAACCUGCCCUUGACUUUGGGAUAACUUCAGGAAACUGGGGCUAAUACCGGAUAGGAGCUCCUGCUGCAUGGUGGGGGUCGGAAAGUUUCGGCGGUUGGGGAUGGACUCGCGGCUUAUCAGCUUGUUGGUGGGGUAGUGGCUUACCAAGGCUUUGACGGGUAGCCGGCCUGAGAGGGUGACCGGCCACAUUGGGACUGAGAUACGGCCCAGACUCCUACGGGAGGCAGCAGUGGGGAAUAUUGCACAAUGGGCGGAAGCCUGAUGCAGCAACGCCGCGUGCGGGAUGACGGCCUUCGGGUUGUAAACCGCUUUCGCCUGUGACGAAGCGUGAGUGACGGUAAUGGGUAAAGAAGCACCGGCUAACUACGUG
rnacentral:rRNA from 1 species